GAAUUUCUAAAGUCCAUGUGAUUCAGAUUCACAGCCAGGUUUGGGAACAACUAGUGUUUACUGAACUUCCUGGUGUAACACUAAUUCUAUUUAUUAACUGAAAUCUCUUUAUUAACUAGUACCAGUUUGCUGGCAUGAAAUAAUAGAAGUUUCCCUCAAUACAUAUCACAUUUGCAUAGAUACCAGAGUAGUUUUUAAACAGUAUAUAUCUUAUUACCACAGCUAAAUUCACAAUAGUUACUUUUGCACACCUUUAUCCUCCGAGCUGUUAUGGACAUGAAUGCCCAAUCCUUAGGAAUGCCAUCUUGGUGCGAGAUAACAUCCUAGCACUGGAAUCUAUUCUUCAAAUUGAUUUCUAAAGGUGAUACAGCACACACCUUUGGUUACUGCUCCGUCGCUUGUUAUGCUCUUCCAUCUGGUUUGUUGGUUGCAAUGUGUCCAACCCUGCUUAUUGGUCAGUAGUGUCAAAGAUGUGGUUGAUUGACAGCUCAUUAAAGUUGACGUAUGGUCUUGUCCCAUCCACCCUUUUCAUGGCGCUUAGCUAAGAGCCCUGUUUAGAGUGAAUGCUUGGUAAAUGUGCCUGUUGAAUUCAACUAAACUAAAUUUGCCCUUGGAAAACCACAAUUUGACUUCUCCGCCAGCAUUGCCGGAAGUGGAGCCAAGGUAGGGCAGCUGGAAUAUCACCGGCUUUCUGCUGCAGCCUGUGUCCUACAGUUCAGUGAAGAAGGGCAAUCCCGCAGGCUCAGCGUGGUGGCUCACAGAUGUGUUUUAGUUCCAACUUUACUUGAAGAAUUGGAAGACGCAGCAUCACUGAACCAGCCCAGGAUUAGGUACUUGGGAAAAACUAGCAGCUGCCUCAUUUUAUCGUAUAUUUACAUUCCUCACCACCUGGCUCCAGGCUUAUGGUCAGGGGCUUGUAAACUCAGGUGCCUAGAGGAAACAGGCAGGUACAGAGAGGAGCGAAGCAAGCCAAAAUGGGACCUCUGUGCCUUGCAGACGGGAGGAACAGUGCUCCACCCAAAUCUGGCAG
rnacentral:lncRNA from 1 species